GGACAACUUGUCUUACCAGAGGUCACUGCAACUUACUUUUACUUUGUUCAUUUAUGUCAGUAAGAACACUUAAAGUCAUCUGGUGCAAAGAGAAAGAUACUUCCACUUCUAAUACAGCAUCAGAUACAACUUUUAGUGACAUCUAUCACAGUUUUUCUUUUUUUUGGGACACGGGGACAAUAUCUGUCCUGUGCCAAGCUUCUGCAGAGACAGUCCUAUUACCAGCAUCUUGGCACAAUGGACAAACUCCAAAAGACAGGAGAAAACUGGAAACUGACCUUCAACUGCAGCAGCCACCUUCAGCAGGAGCAGUGAUGAGUUUGAUGCAGAAGUGACUAAGAUUUGUCACCUAGAUCAGCAGCUGACUGUUGACCUCAGAGUUUUUGAGAAGAUGGAGCCUGAAGUCACUGGAGUGAAGUUUGCACACUGGCAACUAAGUACCUGGUGUUUAGCUGAACAGAAACAUCUUGGGAGACUGCCAAAACCAACCAAACAAAAAACCAGGGAGAAACCUAGAGAAGAAAAAUAGUUGCAUCACUUCUCUUGCCUUCUGCUUUCCACUGUAAUUUCUGGCCAAUCUGUGUCCUGUUCUAUAGCUACAUUACAAUUUAGGAAAUUAUUUCACCAUUAAAACGCUGAGUCAUCUUUGCUGAGACAAGUCUACAACAUAUAAUGACAUAAUUUAGGAAUAUCUUGAUUCAGCAUUUUAAUCCAUCCUUUUAUGUGGUUUGGCUAGAAUAAAUAAGGGAUAGAGAGGCAGCCUUGUUCCUUGCAGUAUCUUAUGCUGUGGAUUAUGGUGGGAAAGGACACGUGUAAUUUAGCCAAUAAUCUUGACUUCAUUCUGUGUAGGAAAAGACCUUGAGUCAUGAGUAGAAGGUGAACACAUGAUGUGAGAUUGUUAUGUUUGUUUUACCAGUUACUGCCACUACAGACUUAUUAGUAAUGAAGAGUUCCUCACAGAUUCCAACCAAAAUUGAAAGUAUUCUGAUGGAGUAUUUUGUCAGCUCCAUUUAGCAAUUACUUGUGAAAACUGAGAUAGAUAACAGACUUCCUGACAGUUUUAAAUCUUAAUCUCAGAGGCACAAAGGUUAAUUAAAUGCUGCUGCAAGACAAAAUUAAAUUUCAGCCAAAUAUCCUUUCAAAACCAACAUAGGAUGGAAGGCUGCCAAAAACCCCACAUGAUUUGGAACUCAAGAAAGAAGAAGGGCCUCCAGGUCUGCAAUGCAAUAACAUAAUACUUUUGACAGUUUCUCAAAGGAGUAGGCCAGAGGAUGCAAGGAUGAUCCUGUUGUUUUUUCUGUAAUAGCUGACAAACUACUAAAAGUAGGUUGUCAACUAAAACUCUACUCAUUUCUUAGUUUCUCUGGAAUACAUCAAUACUCUAGCAUGUCCUCAAGCUUACUUUCUCCUCCAUAGAACAAUUUAACAUUAUAACCUGAUUUUGGACAAAACAUUUCUAAAAACAAAAUAAGCAAACAAAUAAACAAACAAACACAAAAUGACACUCACUCCCUCCCCCAAAAAACCCCAGACCAACAAACCAACAAAAAUCCCAAUUAAACCAAGUAAAAAAAUUCCUAGAGCUUGGAAAGAGGAACCACAAUCCAUGGCUUUUCACAAUCAGGAUUAGACUAUCAGCCAUAAUCCUUCCUGUGUUUUCUUAUGGCAAUAGAACUUUCCCAUGCUUAGUGGCAACACCAGACAAGGUGGAAGAAAAAUGCUCUGAAUUCAGUUUAUCAUGAUUAUUUUGAUCUUCCAGGAUCUACAGAAAUGGAUUUGGUCACAUAUUUCUUGCUUCUCCAUGACAAUUUUCACCGAUGCUGAUUUCAAUAAGAGCAAGCAGCACCAACAACCCGUACCAGAUUCACUGCUUUUGCACUGGCAGAAUCCUCUUCCCCACUGAUGCCUACAAUGUACAUCCUGGUUUGGCAUGUAUCUGGAUGUAUCACUAUGCUGCACUUCACUCAUAUACUGUCUGUGCUUAUCUGAGGAGGUAAAUAGGACUAGGAAUAUUUUUGUUGACAAUCAAAAGUUCAGAGCUAUGGAACAGUGUGAGGAUAUGAAGGUGGACCUCCCUAUCACUUCGCGUUUCAGCUGGGCUGACCCUGCAGUUUGCCAUAAACUCCAAAUGUUACAUUCAACAACCUUACCAGGUCAGGCUUCCCAGUUCAUUUCAACACACCAGAUGAGCCAUUGGGACUAAUGUGUUUUUUGAAUGCACAUUCUACCUUCAAAGUAUUUAAUUCUGAAAGCAUCCAAGUGAGGUCAGCUUUUUGCUUACACAGCAUUCAGAUGAAGAAGGCUCUGGAUUUUUGCACUGAUUAUAUGCAUCUUAUUUUAAAUGCAAUGAAGAGCUAGAGCAUAGAGACAUGGAUUCUCCAAAAAGCUAAAACAUUUGAGGUCUCUGGUUCAAAUAGCUCAGUGGUAAGAGAAUAAGCAUUUCUCUCCUAUUUCCUGGAAUUGUGUAAAGAAAUUAUGAUAAUGACUCAUUCACACUGCUCAAAUGUAAACCAUUUUAUUAGUAAUGGACAUUAACACCCAGCAGGUCUUCUUUUUUUUUUUCUUUUUCUUUUUUUUUUUUUAAUGUUUAUUUAGGUGCCUAAGCACAAGUUUAUAGUGACUUUCCCGAAACUACCCAUGUAGAGACUUGCCCUUCCUCCAAGGUCUCUUGUGGAAAAAGUCACCUGGGCAAGACAAAGAAUUGACUCUGUGACACACGGACAUUAUAAAAGGUGUCUAAAAGAAGAAAACUCUUUUCAACUUAUGUUCUGGUUAUGAAUGAACCCCAAGAGGAAGAUGGUCUUUUAUUUCAUGCAAUCACUUUCAGAAACCUAAUGCAUUUUUUCAAAAGCAGCAUUGCACAAUAAUAAAUAUUGUAAAUCAUGUGUCUUUAACAAGUGAUAAAAAGAACAGAGAAGUUAUAUGGACAAAUUAAACUGGAAUCAUAUGAAAGGAAGUUCACAGUGCUUUUUAAUUAUCUUACUGGUUUAAAAAUAACUCUUCUGUUAUCUUCAAAGGAAAAAGACCAUGACAUCUGAGGAGUUCAUUAGCUCUACAUAAAGAACCAAAUAACUUCAAUACGAAUUCUAAGACAGAGAGCAAGACAAUGCUUUUUCAUAAGACAAUACAUUUUCAGAGGAAAAUGUAUAUAAUUUUAAACUCACAUAAAUAUGUAAACAGUGAAUUAAAAGAAGUGUGCUAGCAAUAUGACUGCUUGUAGUGGCAGAAAACACUACUUCUUUAUUUGAAUUUUUCCUAGGAUAGAAAUAUUUUAGAAAUACUGCUGUUAAUAUUUGAAAAACAUUAGGAAAAUAUACUGGUAUGUCAGAUAAACAAAACUACAGUUUUCUUUUUUUAUGCUAUGAAUACUAAGACAGUUCA